UGGGGAAUAUUGCACAAUGGGCGCAAGCCUGAUGCAGCCAUGCCGCGUGUAUGAAGAAGGCCUUCGGGUUGUAAAGUACUUUCAGCGGGGAGGAAGGGAGUAAAGUUAAUACCUUUGCUCAUUGACGUUACCCGCAGAAGAAGCACCGGCUAACUCCGUGCCAGCAGCCGCGGUAAUACGGAGGGUGCAAGCGUUAAUCGUAAUUACUGGGCGUAAAGCGCACGCAGGCGGUUUGUUAAGUCAGAUGUGAAAUCCCCGGGCUCAACCUGGGAACUGCAUCUGAUACUGGCAAGCUUGAGUCUCGUAGAGGGGGGUAGAAUUCCAGGUGUAGCGGUGAAAUGCGUAGAGAUCUGGAGGAAUACCGGUGGCGAAGGCGGCCCCCUGGACGAAGACUGACGCUCAGGUGCGAAAGCGUGGGGAGCAAACAGG
rnacentral:rRNA from 1 species